CAUAACUACCUCGCUGCCGUGGUCCUUAAAUCUAUGUGUGGCAAUACAUAGUGAUUAGAGGUAGUUAGGGGUGAUAUUCCUCUCAAAAUACUAGAUAUCUUGUUCCGCGGAAAAUAUAUUAAGUAUUAGAACAGUUUAGGAAUGAUUAGGUUUUUAAAGGGUACCAAAUUGUAUCGGUGUUCUACGGUAGGUUUAACAAUCCCUGUGGUUCUAAAAUUAAAAUAGUAUAAGCGUAGUUUGUGGUCUUUACCGUGGUAUUUUGCAGACUUAAUUGCAUAGUUGUUAAUGAAAAUAUUAGUACAUAUUUAAAAACAAGGAAAGGAACUCGGCAAAUAACUUAGCUUAACUGUUUAACAAAAACAUAGCUGAAUGAGUUGAUAUUUGGUGACUACUGCUCAAUGCAACGUAAAUAGCCGCAGUACCCUGACUGUGCAAAGGUAGCAUAAUCAAUUGGCUUGUAAUUUAAGUCUGGUAUGAAUGUAGUUUUAGGUUAAAGCUGUCUCUUUAUGUUAAUUGAAAUUUACUUGGCCGGUGAAAAAACCGGCAGUAAAAUAAUAGACGAGAAGACCCUAGAAAUUUUAUGAAAGGUAUAUUAAUAUAUAUUGGAUUUUGUUGGGGCGACAGAGUAACAGUUAACUUACUCUAUUUGAUGUGAAUUAAUUAUGAAAAUGUAAAUUACUCUAGGGAUAACAGCAUAAUUCUAUUAGUGUUUGUGACCUCGAUGUUGGACUAGGAAAGAUAAUAUUCAGAAGAUAUUAUUAUAGGCUCUGUUCGCGCC
rnacentral:rRNA from 1 species